UGGGGAAUAUUGCGCAAUGGGCGAAAGCCUGACGCAGCCAUGCCGCGUGUGUGAAGAAGGCCUUCGGGUUGUAAAGCACUUUUAGUGGGGAGGAAAGGGCGCUGGCUAAUAUCCAGCGCAGUUGACGCUACCCACAGAAAAAGCACCGGCUAAUUCCGUGCCAGCAGCCGCGGUAAUACGGAAGGUGCAAGCGUUAAUCGGAAUUACUGGGCGUAAAGCGCGCGUAGGCGGCUUGGUAAGUCGGAUGUGAAAGCCCCGGGCUCAACCUGGGAACUGCAUUCGAUACUGCUGGGCUGGAGUACGAGAGAGGGGGGUGGAAUUCCAGGUGUAGCGGUGAAAUGCGUAGAGAUCUGGAGGAACAUCGGUGGCGAAGGCGGCCCCCUGGCUCGAUACUGACGCU
rnacentral:rRNA from 1 species